GGGUAAAUAGAGGUUGCCUUUGGCACCAUCUGCUGGCUUCUUUACUUCAUCCUGGGACCAGGAAGUAAGUCCGCUGGUCUCCUAAGUCGCCUCCGCAGGCAUAGAAAUGGGAACUUCUCUUUUGCUCCCCACAAAACAACCAGAGCGUGGAACAUAUGAAGUAAAGAAUAAUAUUUAUUGAAUGAAGACAUGAAUUUAACCCUGCAGGCCUAGGUGGGAGCUUCCAGUGCCUCUUGUCAUCAUUCUGGUAUGUCCAGGAAGUGGGAGGUGGCACCAAUGUGUAGCCACCCUGCCUGAGCCCACCAGCCUUGGAGUCAGAACACCCUGGGGUAAAUCCUGGCUCAGCUCUUCUCAGCUAUGUGAUCUCGGCUACAGGGCAAGGCUUAACCACUGCUGACCUAAGUCUUGGAGGGAUACCCCAUGGUCACCCAGAUCAUGAGAAGUCAGGCCACCACCACUGAGCCAUGUGGUUAUCCCAUCCAGCCUGCCACCACUGGACUGUAUGUACCGCAGUUCUCCUAUCCAGCCCACCACCACUGGACUCUCUCUCCUGUAUGUAAGCCCCA
rnacentral:lncRNA from 1 species